UCCAGGGUGAAAUGAAUCCUUCGAUUGUUCCUGGUUUGAAGAGAACCUCCAUGGGACUGCUUUCCAGCCCCUGUGUGAGAAGCCCCGGUGGGCUUGCACCGAGACGGCAACAUUUUGAUGUUUAAUACAGACCAAGGAAUUGGUUAUGGAGGCUGAGAAGUCCUGCGAUCUGUCACCUGUGAGCUGGAGCCCCAGGAAUGUCGGUGGUGUAAUUCAGUCUGAAGGCCAGAGAACAAGGGAAACCAAUGGUAUAGAUCCCAGUCUGACGUCAGGAGAAGAUGAGAUGAGGAUUUGAUGAGGUGCAGUCCAGAAGAAAGAAAUAAACUCCCGCCUCCAGGAAAUGAUCAUCUCAAUCACUAGGUUGACAUUUCCGAAGUUCUUUGUACUUUUUUUCACUGAAGUCUCAGAAGAAAAGACCUGGAGGGCCUAGGAAGGAAACAACACCGUGCUGUCAGAGGUAACUGAGGCA